rnacentral:rRNA from 1 species
UACGGGGGGGGCAAGCGUUGUUCGGAAUUACUGGGCGUAAAGGGCUCGUAGGUGGCCAACUAAGUCAGACGUGAAAUCCCUCAGCUUAACUGGGGAACUGCGUCUGAUACUGGAUGGCUUGAGUUUGGGAGAGGGACGCGGAAUUCCAGGUGUAGCGGUGAAAUGCGUAGAGAUGUGGAGGAACACCGAUGGCGAAGGCAGCCUCCUGGGCUAGUACUGACGCUCAUGCACGAAAGCGUGGGGAGCAAACAGG